CAGUCGUACCGGCGGAUAAUCAGCCUUUCGGGUGCGAUUCUGUGGGGCGUGAGGAGCUUAACCGCCUUCAUGUUUUGCAUAUUCGUGCACAUUUGGUGUACUUGUCCGUGUGGUGGGUUAACAUCAAUUUCGGUCGUCAUAAAAUGACCGGCGGAAUGUAGCUUCGAUUUCGGUUGAAGUGUUAUAGCCUCUGGUAGAUGAGGUGAUUGGGACUGAGGAUUGCAACGAAUAUCCUUUGGGCUAUCCGUCUGACCUCUGAAAGUUGCUCAGGUGCCGAAAGCGUGCUUACGGUCAUCUAAGAUAACGUUCAACAGGCUAGAACGUGAUUACAUUCGUUAAGGACGUUGGCGUAAUGGCUUUAAACGA
rnacentral:rRNA from 1 species